AGAGUUUGAUCCUGGCUCAGGACGAACGCUGGCGGCGCGCCUAACACAUGCAAGUCGAACGAGCGAGAGAGAGUUUACUUUUUCGAGCGAGUGGCGAACGGGUGAGUAACGCGUGAGGAACCUGCCUCAAAGAGGGGGACAACAGUUGGAAACGACUGCUAAUACCGCAUAAGCCCACGACCCGGCAUCGGGUAGAGGGAAAAGGAGCAAUCCGCUUUGAGAUGGCCUCGCGUCCGAUUAGCUAGUUGGUGAGGUAACGGCCCACCAAGGCGACGAUCGGUAGCCGGACUGAGAGGUUGAACGGCCACAUUGGGACUGAGACACGGCCCAGACUCCUACGGGAGGCAGCAGUGGGGAAUAUUGCACAAUGGGGGAAACCCUGAUGCAGCGACGCCGCGUGGAGGAAGAAGGUCUUCGGAUUGUAAACUCCUGUUGUUGAGGAAGAUAAUGACGGUACUCAACAAGGAAGUGACGGCUAACUACGUGCCAGCAGCCGCGGUAAAACGUAGGUCACAAGCGUUGUCCGGAAUUACUGGGUGUAAAGGGAGCGCAGGCGGGAAGACAAGUUGGAAGUGAAAUCCAUGGGCUCAACCCAUGAACUGCUUUCAAAACUGUUUUUCUUGAGUAGUGCAGAGGUAGGCGGAAUUCCCGGUGUAGCGGUGGAAUGCGUAGAUAUCGGGAGGAACACCAGUGGCGAAGGCGGCCUACUGGGCACCAACUGACGCUGAGGCUCGAAAGUGUGGGUAGCAAACAGGAUUAGAUACCCUGGUAGUCCACACUGUAAACGAUGAUUACUAGGUGUUGGAGGAUUGACCCCUUCAGUGCCGCAGUUAACACAAUAAGUAAUCCACCUGGGGAGUACGACCGCAAGGUUGAAACUCAAAGGAAUUGACGGGGGCCCGCACAAGCAGUGGAGUAUGUGGUUUAAUUCGACGCAACGCGAAGAACCUUACCAAGUCUUGACAUCCUGCGACGGUGCUGGAAACAGUACUUUCCUUCGGGAACAGGAAGACAGGUGGUGCAUGGUUGUCGUCAGCUCGUGUCGUGAGAUGUUGGGUUAAGUCCCGCAACGAGCGCAACCCUUAUUGUUAGUUGCUGCCAUUUAGUUGAGCACUCUAGCGAGACUGCCCGGGUUAACCGGGAGGAAGGUGGGGAUGACGUCAAAUCAUCAUGCCCCUUAUGUCUAGGGCUACACACGUGCUACAAUGGCAAGUACGAAGAGAAGCAAGACCGCGAGGUGGAGCAAAACUCAAAAACUUGUCUCAGUUCGGAUUGUAGGCUGAAACUCGCCUACGUGAAGCUGGAGUUGCUAGUAAUCGCGAAUCAGCAUGUCGCGGUGAAUACGUUCCCGGGCCUUGUACACACCGCCCGUCACACCAUGAGAGUUGGCAAUACCCAAAGUGCGUGAUCUGACUCGCAAGAGAGGAAGCGCCCUAAGGUAGGGUCAGCGAUAGGGGUGAAGUCGUAACAAGGUA
rnacentral:rRNA from 1 species